rnacentral:rRNA from 1 species
UACGAAGGGGGCUAGCGUUGUUCGGAAUUACUGGGCGUAAAGCGCGCGCAGGCGGCUAUCCAAGUCAGUGGUGAAAGCCCGGAGCUCAACUCCGGAACUGCCAUUGAAACUGUUUAGCUUGAGGACGAGAGAGGUGAGUGGAAUUCCCAGUGUAGAGGUGAAAUUCGUAGAUAUUGGGAAGAACACCGGUGGCGAAGGCGGCUCACUGGCUCGUUCUGACGCUCAGGCGCGACAGCGUGGGGAGCGGAACCGG